AUAAAUUUAUAUUUAUUUUUUAAAAAAAAUGAAAUUUAUUUAGAAAUUUUAACUAGUUUUGGUACAAUUAGCUUCAAUUGAAAUUCAGAAUCUCAAUAAUAAAUCAUGAGCAAUAAAUGAAAAGACAACAAAAAUAGCUUCACCAAUAUGUAUUCAUCCACCAAAUCUUUGUUAGAUGUGUGGCACACAUAAUUUAGUCCCAAAAUCUAGAGAUGACCCUGCACAAUGAGACAGUGAAAAAAUUUUAGAAAUAAUAAGAAGAAACAAAUGAAAAAGAAGCAGGCAAAUGGACUUUCAUUAGGGUGAGCAUGGCUAUUGGGCAGACUAUUUUCCCUUUUUUUUAAUUAUUAUUAUAUUAUUUAUGUUCACACUCUGUCCACGUAGUUGCUUUCCUUCAUCGCUGCUCAAAGUUUAUAAGAACUUCAUAUACGGUAGGCCCUUCAAUUCUGCAAUGCAAG
rnacentral:misc_RNA from 1 species